UAUGGUGAUGGCUAGGUAAGAACUAGGGAUCUGUGGCAGCAGCUCAUAGAUUAGAAUUAGAUUUGAUAAUUGGAGAUGGAUUCCUGAACCAAUUUGCAAAUUCGUUGGUGAUUUCAGUGCUUAUACUUAUUUGGUUUUGGUGCCUGGUCGGACCUUCUCUAUGUUAGUUCCUUUGCUUAGCCAAAUUAGUUAGGGAUAUAGCCCAUCCAUGAUGUUGCGAGGUUUUGAUUGCCUUCUAGCAAAAAUCUAGAGCGUUGGGUAUCUCUGGCUGUAAACUGAAUCUGGUUCAGUUAAAAACUGCACUGUCAAAUCUGGACAGCCAGCUUCUAGACGCAGCAUCUUCACUUCUUUCCUUGCACAUUCCUAUUAAGGAAGCAAAGAAAUCUUGGAUUCAUAAAUGGGAGAAGCACAUAAGGGAGAAGAAGAUGA